GCACUCUCUGCCUCCGCUUAAUUUCUUCCGACUCGCUUCUUGAGCGGCUCCACUGGGGUUUCCGCCGGCUACCAUUUUGUGCCUCUCAAUCGUUCCCGGGAGGAACGCCCUUCACAGUGCUGCAGCAGGUCCGGGGUGGUGCCGGGCCAUACGGUGGGCAUCUAUAAGUAAUGAUAAUCACGGUGUGUGGUGAGGUCGCCGAGGCCCGGCUCCGGAAUUAGAACCCAUGCGUGACCUUCCGACCCCAAGGCCACCCUGCCGUCGCCCCUCAACCCUGUCAAAAGGGUCACCGGUGUCCCACUGUCGUCUCUGGGAAGGGCAACGCUCAUCUUGGAGGUUAAGAGAAUGAAGAACAAUAUCAGGCCACACGAAUAACACCAAUACGGUCAAGAAUGAUCUUCACAAGCUCAGAGCACAUGGAAGAAUUGGUUGUUUAUCAGUUCCAGUCACCGACAGCCAGGAAGUCCCCUCACCCUCCCAAACUGCAGACCUUCCUCAUCCUUUGCAGUGAAGCCUAAUCAGUCCUGAUCAUUGAGCACUAACCGUGUGCGGAACGCCGUACUAAGGACCUGGGAGAGUACAGUGCAACAGAGUUCCCCAUCCACAACGAGCUCACAGUCUACAGUCACCGUGGUCCUGGCAUGGGCCGAGUUGAAGAUCUUUGGUCGGUAAAAGGCUUUUGCUCCACUAUCAGAGCCUGUUUUAGAAUGAAGCCACUCUCUCAGUAGUUGUUAUUCUUAUUAUUGUUGUUAUUAUUAAGUGCCGUCGAGUCGUUUCCGAUUCACAGCGGCUCC